GUGAGCGUAGCUCAGUCGGUAGAGCCCCGGAUUGUGAUUCCGGUGGUCGUGGGUUCGAUCCCCAUCGCUCACCCCA
rnacentral:tRNA from 3 species